rnacentral:rRNA from 1 species
UCAAACUUAAGAGUUUGAUCCUGGCUCAGAACGAACGUUGGCGGCACGCUUAACACAUGCAAGUCGAACGAGAAACCCGAGCUUGCUCGGGUGGAAAGUGGCAGACGGCUUAGUAACGCGUGGGUAUCUACCUAGAGGUUUGGAACAACUAUUGGAAACGAUAGCUAAUACCAAAUAUUCCCUUCGGGGGAAAGAUUUAUCGCCUUUAGAUGAGCCCGCGUCGGAUUAGCUUGUUGGUGA